UACGUAGGGGGCAAGCGUUGUCCGGAUUUACUGGGCGUAAAGAGCGCGUAGGCGGAAGCUUAAGUGUGGCCUGAAAGCCCCCGGCUCAACCGGGGAGGGUGGCUGCAAACUGGGCUUCUUGAGGUCGAUAGAGGAGAGCGGAAUUCCUGGUGUAGCGGUGAAAUGCGUAGAUAUCAGGAGGAACACCGGUGGCGAAGGCGGGUCUCUGGGCCGAUACUGACGCUGAGGAGCGAAAGCGUGGGGAGCAAACAGG
rnacentral:rRNA from 1 species